rnacentral:rRNA from 1 species
UACAGAGACUGCAAGCGUUAUUCGGAUUCACUGGGCGUAAAGGGUGCGCAGGCGGCCGUGUGUGUCAGGUAUGAAAGCCCGGGGCUUAACCCCGGAAUUGCGCCUGAAACUACAUGGCUAGAGCAUUGGAGAGGGUAGCGGAAUUCACGGUGUAGCAGUGAAAUGCGUAGAUAUCGUGAGGAACACCAGAGGCGAAGGCGGCUACCUGGACAAUUGCUGACGCUCAGGCACGAAAGCGUGGGGGAGCAAAAGGG